GUCUUUCAUCGCUGUGCCGGUUUUGAUGAUGCUUGAUCAACUGGAUCUUUGUCUUGAGGUUGAAACCGCAAAUCUCGCAGUGAGGGCAUGCCAAAGUACCCUCGAGACGAUUAUGGACGACCAUCAUAUGAUGACGGAGACGCACUUCGGAUGUAAAAAUAGCCUCGCAGUCGGUGCACUUUAACGGGUCCUUCUCCAUGCAGACCAGAUUCGUCGUGGAUAAUGCCUACAAGAGAAAUUACUUUUUCUAUUAUUUCAAAAAUUCCAUCUAUAAAAAAGAAUGUAUUAAAAUUUU